rnacentral:rRNA from 1 species
GACGAACGCUGGCGGCGUGCUUAACACAUGCAAGUCGUACGGUAAGGCCCUUUCGGGGGUACACGAGUGGCGAACGGGUGAGUAACACGUGAGUAACCUGCCCACAACUUUGGGAUAACGCUAGGAAACUGGUGCUAAUACUGGAUAUGUGCUCCUGCUGCAUGGUGGGGGUUGGAAAGCUCCGGCGGUUGUGGAUGGACUCGCGGCCUAUCAGCUUGUUGGUGGGGUAGUAGCCUACCAAGGCGGCGACGGGUAGCCGGCCUGAGAGGGUGACCGGCCACAUUGGGACUGAGAUACGGCCCAGACUCCUACGGGAGGCAGCAGUGGGGAAUAUUGCACAAUGGGCGCAAGCCUGAUGCAGCAACGCCGCGUGCGGGAUGACGGCCUUCGGGCUGUAAACCGCUUUCAGCAGGGACGAAGCUUUUUGUGACGGUACCUGCAGAAGAAGCACCGGCUAACUACGUG